rnacentral:rRNA from 1 species
UACGGAGGGGGCAAGCGUUAUCCGGAUUCACUGGGUUUAAAGGGUGCGUAGGCGGGGAUAUAAGUCAGUGGUGAAAGCUCCGGGCUUAACUUGGAAACUGCCAUUGAUACUGUAUAUCUUGAAUGUCGUAGAGGUUAGCGGAAUGUUGCAUGUAGCGGUGAAAUGCUUAGAUAUGUUACAGAACACCAAUUGCGAAGGCAGCUAACUAUGCGAUGAUUGACGCUGAGGCACGAAAGCGUGGGGAGCAAACAGG